AUGGAAGUGAUGAUUAUUUCUCCAAAUGAUGAAGGCUGAAAUAACUCAGCAUACUUUGUCUCUAUAUUACAAAGAGGCAUCUAACUAGCUAUAUAUCUGAUCCAU